rnacentral:lncRNA from 1 species
GUUUUUGAUACAAAAAUAAACAAUAUUCAGUUUGUGCCCUGAUGAAGUUCAUCGCAUAGAAAAAUUAGCUAGGCAGACAUGCACGCCACAGUGAAGUCCUAAGAAAGCAUAAAGCACAAGCAUCCAAGAACAAAU